rnacentral:rRNA from 1 species
UACGUAGGGGGCUAGCGUUGUCCGGAAUCAUUGGGCGUAAAGCGCGUGUAGGCGGUUCGGUAAGUCCGCUGUGAAAGUCGGGGGCUCAACCCUCGGAUGCCGGUGGAUACUGUCGGACUAGAGUACGGAAGAGGCGAGUGGAAUUCCUGGUGUAGCGGUGAAAUGCGCAGAUAUCAGGAGGAACACCGAUUGCGAAGGCAGCUCGCUGGGACGUUACUGACGCUGAGACGCGAAAGCGUGGGGGAGCAAAACAGG